ensembl:lncRNA
CAAAUACUCUGAUAAAUUAAACAACUCCAGUUCUUUGACUAAAAAAGUUUUAAAGUCAGAAAAUGAGUGAAACGAUUAAGUCUGAAAUUAAAUGUUCUUAUUUUACUUUUUCAUUGGAAGUUGCCAUAAAAGUUCAAAUUUUCAACAUCUUGAAAAAGACUUUAUCUUAAAAGUGAAAAGACUGUAGAUGAACUGAAAGGUUAUUCUACCACGAGAUAACCAUAACUGGUGCUGGAAACCUGUAAGAACAUCUUGAAAAGAACAAAUCAGACCCUACUCCUACCAUGGGAAUCUCCACACCAAAAAGUGAAUGGAAUUUAAAAUCAAUCGAGGUAGCUGGAAAACUGUUAAAGCUGAAGGAAGAAACAAUAUUAUUCAUUUUUUUCAUUACUCAAAAAAAAGCACUGCUACUAUGUCUAUGAUAUUUAAAAUUCUAUAAUUCUACCUAUGGGCAUUUUUUGCCAUGAACAUAGAUAUAGAAAUGUGUCAAUUCACUUCAGUUACCCAGUCUUUAAAUGUGCUCAAAUUUGGACCUGUUGCACCGUGGCCAUGACCACACAGACUUCAUUAAGUAAGGUGUGACACUGCACCAAAAUUGCAGAGUCCUGGAAUUUAUAACAUUUAGUCAUUCCUACACUACCUUAUACACUUACAUGUCCAUUUACCAUCCCAACAAUUAUUCACCUAAUGGUUUUUAAAGCUUGAAAAAAGUAUAUCUAAAUGAUACUAAAGGUAUCAUUCUAAGCACCUUUAUCCAUGUAGUCGCAGGUGUUAUAUACUAGUUAUGUCUUUCAUCAACACUCUAUUAAAAACACAGAAAGCAGGGAGACAGGACUUUUACAAAAGGGAAGGAAACCAAGACAUGGAGAGGAGGGGAAGGCAAAGGGAUAAAAAGAUGUUAUGUACAUGUACUAACUCCCCAUGAUGAAUGGAAUCAUUAUGUACUGCAAAUGUAUUAAUUUAAAAAAAAAGAGUAAAUCUAGAAAAAAACUAAUGAAGAUAUUCAUCAAGAACCACCAAAAAUCAUCUUGCAUAUCAUCAGUGUACAGAAAACACACUCUGGCGUGCUCACUGAAGCAGCACAUAUAUUAAAAGUGUAACCAAAGUCAUGCGUUGAGAAACAGUAAUUUCGUUCUAAAUCCUUUAUGUCACAGUUAAGGAAAUAAACUCAGAGCGAACCUAACCUGCUCAGAGACACACAGCACCUUGUGAUAUCUAGGCUACCCCUGAAAUAACUACAGUAGACUUUCCAGGUGGUUGAGCUAUCAGAAGUAGAGGCCUGGACUCAGGAGUUGACCAAGGAGUGAGCCCUGAGAACUCAGGAGCCCUCUGUGCAUGGAUCUGGGCUUUCCACUAUCUCUGAGAAGCAACAUACAAAACAUGGUACUUACCAACUGAUUCUCUCAAACAUUGUAUGGAUUGGCUGAAACAGAUCUGCUUUCUUUCAGUCUCAUGUGGUUUUGCUCAACUCACUGAACUUUAAGGCAUAAGGCCAUAGAUAAAAAUGUCUGCUGACAAAGGGGUAGAAGUGGGAGGGGUAGGGGAAAGGAAAGAAGGGAAAGGAAAAAUUAUGAGAAAAGGAAAACAUGGAAGAAAAAGUCUUUGUAAAUAGGGAGGGGUGGGGGGGUGAAGGGAGGAUGGGAAAUGGGGAAAAAAUAAGAACCAAGAUAUAUCAUGUAAAGGUACAAGUACCCAAUGAUAAAUGUGAAUGUAUUGUAUACCUAAAAUGGAC